ensembl:lncRNA
CUGCCUAAAUGCUUUCAUGUGAACUGCUGUUUCUUCAGAAAAUUCAGGCAUUACUAGGAAUUCAUUCUUCUGUAAAGGAUAACAGGGAUCACGUUGGAAAGUCUUCUGGAUCUUCUGUGUUUGGAUGCUUCGGUUUUCCCAGGUACACUGUGGAGCUGAUGAAUUAACGCCUAUUUUUUUGUUCCUGAGCACUGUUGCCUUUCUGAUCUUGGUGGCUGCUCACCCAAAGUGUGGACACAAGAGGGAGGCUGCUAUUUGACAUGCUUCCCUGGGAACUCAACACAUUGCCUCCAUGACAUUUCUAUUUUUCCACCCCCUGAUAUUUCAGCAGCAAGGUGAUUCAUUCAGAAUAGUUUUACCCUAUUUCUGACAUCACAGAUCUAUCAGCAGAGAUGGUCUGACAGGAGUCUGAAACCGGUACUCUGUAAUGUGGCCAAUACGUAAUUUUUAUCUAAACAUAAGAGUGAGAAUGGGGCAAAUUUUUUGUUUAUCUUUUUAUUUUUAUUUUUAUUUUUUGAAGUGAGCUUUCUACUUAAAGGCUGCAUUCCCCCAUCAGUUUCUCUUACUUUCUUUGAUAGCAUGUUUUCCACACUUGUGUUGUGCAUGGCUCCUCAAAUGCCAUUACAGGCUGAGCAAACACCUUUGCUGUUAUGGUAAGAAGGACCAAUUUUGGCCUGAAUAUUUGAUAAGAAUAAAUUACAUUUUUCUUGCUUACCAUGUCAAAAAUAAGUAUAUAAAUAAAUAAAAUUGCCACUCUGCCAACCAGAACAAACUUUCUUUGCAGAACUUUACAGCUUACAGUUACUUGGGGACCCCUGUUGAAAAACAACUUCUGAAAGUCUGGUAACUUUUCUUCAGUGCUUAAUUGAGAACAGACUAUUUUGGAAACAUCAACCAUCAGAGAUAUGUAAUCACCUAAAUAGGUGGAGGCAAUGUAAUUAUACAGAAUCAUCUUUGUUCCAGGGUUAAUGCAAGAAAAGAG